UAUGGUUGUGUGCCAGCCGCCGCGGUAAUACGGAGGAUGCGAGCGUUAUCCGGAUUUAUUGGGUUUAAAGGGAGCGCAGACGGGUCGUUAAGUCAGCUGUGAAAGUUUGGGGCUCAACCUUAAAAUUGCAGUUGAUACUGGCGUCCUUGAGUGCGGUUGAGGUGUGCGGAAUUCGUGGUGUAGCGGUGAAAUGCUUAGAUAUCACGAAGAACUCCGAUUGCGAAGGCAGCACACUAAGCCGUAACUGACGUUCAUGCUCGAAAGUGUGGGUAUCAAACAGG
rnacentral:rRNA from 1 species